UUUCGUAGUGAACCUGCGGAAGAUCAUUAGUAAUGGUCUACGUUUUUUAAGUAGACGCUUAAUAAUCUACCUUUGUGAUUUGUUGUUUUGAAAUAAUUUUUUUUAAAAUUAUUGAUUGUCUUUCCUGUUGAAUUGGUUGUCUUAAUGGCAAAUGAUUCGCAGGGGAGUGUCAGUAAUUUUUAAAAAGACCUUUUUUAAAAUUAAACUUUUUGUAUUCAUUUGUCUAAAUAUUUUUAUAAUAUAAAAACAACUUUUGACAAUGAUCUUUGGUUCUCGCAACGAUGAAGAACGCAGCAAAAUGCGAUAAGUAGUGUGAUUGCAGAAUACGUGAAUCAUCGAAUCUUCGAACGCAUAUUGCACUUUUUAGUUUACUAAAAAGUAUGUCUGUUUGAGUAUCAGUAAAUAUUCUCAUAAAACUUUUUGUUUUAUGGUUAUGAGUGUUUACAACGAUACAAGUUGUUUCACUUUAAAUUUUUUAAAAUUUGAAUUUUUUAAUUUUAAAAUAAAUUGGAUAAAAUUUUUCCGUAAAAAGGAAUAACCUAAACAAUUUUAAUUUUUGAUUAGAAUUCUUCAUUAUAAGGAAAAUUUAACUAAAUAACUUGAUCUCAAAUCAGAUAAGAGUACCGCUGAACUUAGCAUAUCAAUAAGCGGAGGAAAGAACUAACAAGAUUCCUUAGUAACGGCGAGUGAAGCGGGAAAGCUCAAUUUGAAAUCUUCAAGUUUUACCUUGACGAAUUGUAGUUUAAAGAAUGUUUUCUGUUGAGUUUGGUAAAAGUUCUUUGGAUAGGAAUCAUAGAGGGUGAGAAUCCGUAUUUGACCAUUAUUUUCAGCUGUGUGAUACACUUUCAAAGAGUCGGAUUGUUUGGGAAUGCAGUCCAAAAUGGGUGGUAAUUUCAUCUAAAGCUAAAUAUUGGCGAGAGACCGAUACGAACAGUACGUGAGGGAAAGAUGAAAAGAACUUUGAAAAGAGAGUUAAACAGUACGUGAAAUUGUCAAAAGGGAAGCGUUGACACAGGUUGUUUCUCGAAAUCAAUUAAAAAAAGUUGGAUUUGUGGUGUAUGACCUAACAGCUUGCUUCACUUUUCUUGCUUUUUUAAUGCACUUUUCGUUUAACAAGUCAACAUCAUUUCUUUGUUGUAAAAGGUAUUGGAAGUGCUCUCUCUUCGGAGAAAGUGUUAUAGCCUUUAUCUCUGCAAUCGGAGAGACUGAGGUCU
rnacentral:misc_RNA from 1 species